rnacentral:rRNA from 1 species
GCUCACCUACGGGGGGCAGCAGUGGGGAAUAUUGGGCAAUGGGCGCAAGCCUGACCCAGCAACGCCGCGUGAAGGAAGAAGGCUUUCGGGUUGUAAACUUCUUUUAUCAGGGACGAAGCAAGUGACGGUACCUGAUGAAUAAGCCACGGCUAACUACGUGCCAGCAGCCGCGGUAAUACGUAGGUGGCAAGCGUUAUCCGGAUUUACUGGGUGUAAAGGGCGUGUAGGCGGGAGUGCAAGUCAGAUGUGAAAACUAUG